rnacentral:rRNA from 1 species
AUUGAACGCUGGCGGCAUGCCUUACACAUGCAAGUCGAACGGCAGCGGACCUUCGGGUGCCGGCGAGUGGCGAACGGGUGAGUAAUAUAUCGGAACGUACCUUUCAGUGGGGGAUAACGUAGCGAAAGUUACGCUAAUACCGCAUAUUCUGUGAGCAGGAAAGCAGGGGAUCGCAAGACCUUGCGCUGAUUGAGCGGCCGAUAUCAGAUUAGCUAGUUGGUGAGGUAAAGGCUCACCAAGGCGACGAUCUGUAGCGGGUCUGAGAGGAUGAUCCGCCACACUGGAACUGAGACACGGUCCAGACUCCUACGGGAGGCAGCAGUGGGGAAUUUUGGACAAUGGGCGCAAGCCUGAUCCAGCCAUGCCGCGUGAGUGAAGAAGGCCUGGUUGUAAGACUCUUCGGUCCGGAGAAAUACGCACACGGUUAAUAACCCUGUGUGGAUGACGGUACCGGAAGUAAGAAG